rnacentral:lncRNA from 1 species
GAUGGUUGUAUGAUUUUUCUCCUUCGGUGAACCACAGCCCUGAGACAAACUCAAGUUUCUUUGUGAGGUAGUGCCAAGUCUAUGAAGUAAGUCACACAACAGAGGAUCCCAGGCCACACCCUUGGUUUAAUGAAAAUGAUUCACAACAAAGAGAGGAAGAGAACAGAGUCAGAGACUAAAAAUCACCACUACCACGCGUGAGCGCUGACUUUCCCACGCCCUCGUAAAGACAGUAAGGAGGCCCUGUUGUGAUUCAGUAAUACCAUGGCAAUCCGAAGCUGUCUACGCAAAUGCAACAUCAGCAAAUAAUGCUCAAAUUCUUUCAGAAAGAACCCUUCCUAAAAUGAGCCAAGAAGAAACAUAAAAACAAAUUAGCCUGAUUGGGGGGGGGGGGGUGAGAGACGACAAAACUGUCGCUUAAAAACGUCCUACAAACCAAAGACCUGGUAAUCUGUGAGUUCAAGGCCAGCCUGGAUUCUAUCAUGAGGCGAAGACCAUGGGGUUAGAUGGCAAAGUAACCAUGGGUGUGGAGCCAUCCACUGAAGCAUAACUUAUCAGCACCUACAAAGAAAAGUGACUUCCUCUGUGAGCAGCCACCAACUGUGGGUAGAUCCUCAGCGACGGGGAGGCAUUGCGAGACCAUCUCUGGUCCGUGAGUUUGUUUGUUUGUUUGUUUGUUUGUUUGUUUGUUUGUUUAAAAUUACCUCCAAAGCAUAUGUAACUUCAGUGGUAAAACCUACCAAACA